AUGUGCAGGACCAAGCCCCACCUCCACGCUGCCGUGCAGGAGCACAUCCCGCCACCCAAAGGUCGAAAUUUCCCCUCCCUUUUCUCGCGCUACAAUCAACACCAUGCUUGCUACCCAAUUUUGUAUGAGCGUGUCUUCGCUGAGCUGCUGCUACAGGCUACGUUGCUGGAUUUGCUUUGGUGAUUUUCCGUUUCAAUUGUGCUGCCGGCUACAUGAUGAGUAGCGGCUUUGUUCUUAUUAGUGAUCUAUGGCGAGAAUUGCUACUCCAACUAUCAUAUUAACUGUACUUCUGUUGACACAAGGGGACUUAGCCGAGGAAAGAAAUAUGUAUCAGCCGACAUUAUUGACUUAACAAAUUGUAAUAUUAUAUUUGGAUGGGAGAUUCUAUAGUUUCUGAAAUCUGAAAUUACAUGUUCAGACUGUGGCGAUGUGAUAGGUUGUUGUAAUUCCACCACAUGACAGGUUCCAAGUUCCACUAUAAUCAGAAAUUGCAAUAAAUCUACCGAAUCACAUGUAGUCUUGACUCAUUACUGAUAAAACCAGGGCAUGCACAAUGCUGUAGGUAGGGCACAUCUCCUGUGUAUUUUCAUGUCCAGUUUAUAACUUUAUAUACAUCAGAAUGAUUGACAUACAUACACUUGGUUGUAUGUAUUGCUUGAUAUACAAAUUUAGCAUACACAUAUUGAUUGAUUGGUACCGGGUGGAUGUGUAGUUAGCUGGAUUUAUAUCUUGCUUAUUUAGCAUAUGAUUUGUUUAGAAAUCUAUUGGACUACUAACCGAACUGGACUCUAUGGACUAAUUGUAACCUGGUAGGACUCUACUAACGCCACAACAAAUAUGUACCUAUUUUCCGAACUGUAUGAUCUCACUGUCCAAUUAUAAAUUAUAUUUUGCAAUGUCCCAAAUACUUGCUCUUACAUACAUCCUUAUAAUACAAGAAGUUUUGGACAAUCUUUCGAGGAAAAGGCAGGCACAUCCAGGCUCCAGCUAUCAGCCAAGUGAUAACGUUUUCAGCAAAAAUAAUUCUGACAAUGACCUGUUUAUCUUGCAUCUGAUCAUACAAGUAAUACAAAAUUGCAUGUGGUUAUGUGAUUCUACCAUAUGUUUGCUUCUAUCUUCCUAUGUUUCUAUGAAUAUUUGCAGUCAUUAUGCAGUCUGAGGUAUGUUAGAGAUAAGUUUCUAACAGAACCACUUGCAUGGAUCCCAUCUGUUGACAAUCCCUCCAUUGCUCAGAUUUUUUAUGAGAUCUUCUCUGCUCGGGAGAAAAAAGAUUACCACUUAAUUAACUAAUGUUCUACUCACUUGUGUAAAGAUCUUUCUUUGUUGAUGUUACAGCGUGUUCAUUAACUCUGUCAAAUUGAUGUACGUACUCAUUACUUCUACAAAUGGCAGCUACAAGGAAGAAGGAAUGAGGACACGUUGAAGCAAUCUUGCUUGUAUGUUACUUCAAGAACAGAACUUUGACAUCCUAGCCUGGAUAACAAGGAGUACUAAACGGCAACGGUGGCCUUCUUCGACUUCAUGUGCUUGGGUGACGCCACCAGGAGGUUCCUACAAGGAAGAGCACAGGCCGCCUUAGGCACAUCGCACAGGAGGGGGAUGCCAGACCGCCGUACCAAUAAACGAUGGAGCCAUCACACGUGGAAAUUAGGUGGUCCACCUCCGAGUCGCCCAAGCUGUCUCAGUACCACAAGUGUACCAAAUAGUUC